GUGUUUACUUCGGCAGCAUAUAUUCUAAAAUUGGGACGAUACAGAGAAGAUGAGCAUGGCUCCUGCACGAGGAUGACAGGCAAAUUCGUGAAGUGUUCCAUAUUUUU